UACUCACCCAGCCACCACAAGCCCAAUUACCCAAAUAUAUGAAUGAAAAGUUGAAAAUUUUAGGUUAGAAGUUCUGUUAGGGUUUGCUCACCCUCACUAUCGCCGCAUCAACCUUUCGCCGCUUAGUCACACUUUCGUCUCUCGUUUCUCGUCUCUCAGCUUCCCUCUCACUCUCCUUUGUUCCUAAUGUAGUAAUAACAUGCUUAAAGUUGACAAGUGGUUUUCCACUCUUGAAAUGGAACCUCGUCUUGGAAAGGUAAGCUAGAAAGCAGAAUCUUUGCCAGAGAAUAUUGGCGAUGUAUUGCAAACAAAGCCUGCUGGUUUGAAGAAGAGUAAGUAGUUUUACCAAGCAUAAUCUUUUUUUAACAUAUUUCAAUUCCACCGCGUUAUGUUUUUCUUCUAAUUUGUAUUAGGUGUACAUAAGCUACUAAAAUCACUCGGUGAAUCCCCAUGAUGCAGCAAUAUUCUUUUGAUUAAUUUCAUUUUAAUUAGGUUGAUUAUGAUGUAAUUUAUGUAAUUUUUACUUGAGAAUGUAAUUUGAGACUGUAAUUUGUAUUGGUUGUGUUGUCUUGUGAAUGUGACAUGAUGUUGCCCAUAAAUUUGUGAUUUAGUAUUUGUCUUAAACUUUUUGGCCAAUGGCAAAUGCUAUGUCCUUGUGAAGGAUAAUCCAAAAAAACUUUGAUUGGAUUA